rfam:Glossina palpalis gambiensis Glossina_palpalis_gambiensis-2.0.1-2313.1, whole genome shotgun sequence.
AUUCUUACUGCGACAGAGCAUAUAUCAAGAUUGGAAUGCAACAGGGUAGACUAGUAUAGGCCCUGGCCAAGGAUGACACAUAAACUGAUGAAGUGUUUCACAUUUCU